CAGCGCCCCAAACUGCGCAAAUCGUACGGAAGGUGGCAAAGCCUUUUACGCGGUGCCGUGCGGACGGGCGAGAUCGGCCGGCUCCGAAAGGGACCAGGAUAUGCGAGGUCCUUUCGCCUUGUUUACAAAGUGGCUUUGAAUUCUGCCCCCCAAGGCUCGAAGAACCAGCACUCGUCCCCUGCUGCCACCAGCCAUUGCUCAUCCAUUCUACGAAAUAAAUUUGAUCUAGAAGCUCG